CGCCUCCUCCCCCUCCCGCGCCCCCCGCCUCCUCCCCCUCCCCUGUCCACAAGUCUCCCCACCCCGUUUGCUGUUUUUCAUCCUCAUGAGUUUCGUUAGGUUUUCCCACAUCUAGAACACUGCGUUGUACAGUUUUGCCUUUAAAAAAAAACUUCCUACAAAUGCUGUCGUACUGUGUUUGUUUUUCUGAACUAAAAUUUCUUGAACAUCAAGACUAGGAAG
rnacentral:lncRNA from 1 species